rnacentral:lncRNA from 1 species
AGCGGAUCACUCUCUCGCCGCGCAUAUUUUUUUGGAAAUUUAUGGCACAACCAUCCUCACUGGAAAUUUCCUCCAACGACUUCCCCACCACUUCCGACAACAUAAAAGUUGAAAUAAAACCCACAAUACAUAUGUAAAAGCCAAAACCAUCAAGAUGUACUUAAUCCUGCUCACCUUCUUAUCCAAUGUGUAAGACUGCAAAACAAAAGCAGCCACAAUCAACCGACAUUCUUAUCCAAUGUAUAAGACUGCAAAACAAAAGCGGCCACAAUCAACCCGACUUUCCUCGCAACGGCAGUCAAUUCAUGACACGUGUACCUCAGCCGGGUCGGGAAACGCUCCGCAGGCCAUAUGAAAGUAGUCGAAUUGGGCCCAAAGUUCUCGAAAUAAGAACCCAAGUUCAUAUAACACAGUGAACAAUCCCUUGCUAUCAUGCCACAAAUACUCGUACCUAAUCCCCAUCAUCAGUCAAAACGCCAAUAUCAUGAAAUAUCCCAUUAACUGAAUCACGUAUUAAACCAACUUCUCGAUGAACGUGACUUUGAACUAAUAUCCGGGGAAAGUCUCUAAUAAUGCAACGAAGAACAUGGCGCAUGAGGAGAUCAACAGAGGAAACAUGACAAGAAAAUUAUGGGAUCUUUUGAACAACUCAAAAGAGGUUCUCAACAUUGUUUAACCACAUAAGAAGUUCGGUCAUAUAAUUUCUAAUGAAUUUAGUUAUUUAAUAAAUUAUUAGUAGAAAAAUUAAACUUGUUAAAAGACUUGUGGAUUUGGAAUACCUUCAAAGUCCAGGUGUAGAAGACAACUUGUCUGGUAACUGACAAUGGUUUAUUGGGAAUCCUACCAAUAAGAGACCAAUAGAAAAACAUAAAUGUCUAGCCAGGGAAAGAAAAACAAUCGUUGCUAAGUAAGAUUGAGAGAGUGAAGAACUCAAAUCUAUAUAAACUUAAAUGGUAUACGUAACAUAGUGGAACAAGUAUGAAGCAAAUAAAGAAAAUUAGGAUUUUGAUGGGAGGAAUGCAGGAAAGACUAGUGUUUGUUGUUAUAUCUCUAUUGUUACAUUCCCUUAUUUUUCAUCCACAUCACCGUGCUUCUACGGCAACAACAACUCAACAAUGAGUUCGAUUGUUGAGGGUUCCUCCGAAUUUUGGGUUUCAUUUUGAGUGGACAACGGUGAAUCAGGCAAUAACAUGAAGUUUUAUGUUGUUGGCAUUAUCAACAUGUGUAGAGACUACCUUGCAAAAUUGACUUUGAUUUUUUGUGGGGUCUUUUUUCCAGUUCUACUAUAGUAAGAUGUACUUAAUGAACACAACAUAACUCUAAGAAUCGGGGUUUUUAUUACAAAACUCAGAAUUCAGUAAGGGGAAGGCUUUUCUAUUUCGUUUCUUCUUUUUGUGCUCAUUUGAUUCAUUAAGGUUGUCGGUGACUCCAUUUAUCCAUUUGCAAAACGUGUAUCGUGCUUAAAAACCGAGUACAUGUCAAAAACCUAAUACAACACAUUGACAUGGUAAGAUUUCAAAAAAAUAAUCCCCACAAAGAUGUUCUAGUGGGCGAAUUUUACUUCUGGAAUCCUAACUCUGUUGACUGGAAAAUAUUUGCUGGAAAAAUUCAGCUCGACAUAAAUGGUUUGGACAAUGGAGAUUCUAUUUGAUCUUCAAAAAGUUUGAAUUUGCUCCUUUUAAGAUGAGGGUAUUGAUUGGAAAUUUUAAUUGAAAAGAUACGGAUAUUAGGUUCUUGUUAGAGAUGGAUUUAUAUUUUCAUAUGAAAAAAAUAAAUUUUCGGGCGAAGAGAUCAAAAUAAACGUGAAACUCUUAACUUUCUUAUUUAGAAAUAAAAUUCUAAAUUUAUAUGAAAUUUUCAGAGACAGAAUUAAACAUAGAUCAACUUAUGAUUAUAAGUGACUACUAAAGUACAAGGUUUCUCGACCCAAGUUGAGAGAGAACCAAUGGACCAUGCAUCUUUAAUUACCUUACAACAACUAUUAUAUAACUCUUAAAUGACACAAUCAAAAGGAUCACCUUAACACCUCUUCAUGCUACCAGGAGCUAAGCUGGAACUUGAAACAUCAUGGCUACUGUUGAGCGAGAAACCGAUAACGAACCAAAUGUCCUCUGUCUAAUAGUAGCAAAAAAAUGAAACUUUGUAUGAUGCCUGCGGAUCAUCAGUGAAAUUGCUUGAAACUUAGCUCACACCUACACACAUGCACAAUCAUUAUGCAUUUCCAAAUUAUUUACACUCAAGCUAACCAAAUCAACAAUAGUGACCACCUAUACUAUUUAAAACAUACCAUUCUUAUUAUUAUCAACAUUAAGUUUCGUAACCUUGCUAACUAAUCCCGUAAAAGCCUCAAUCCAGCAACUCGAAUUAAUGCAAAAAAUAGGCAUUGUUACCCAUAAUUAAAUCCAAAGUAAAAUAUUGAAAUUUUAAAACUUGUAUAAUCUAAUAGCAUCAGUAAGAACGGCUACUACAUUACAUACCAUCUCCAUAGCACAUUAUGCUGUCAUGACGCUCCAAUUAAGCCUAAAACACACAAAAUUUUAGUUCUUAGAUCAAGACUGAUAAGAUAUCAGCUUUAAUAGAUGUUUUGGAUCAUAUAAUUAUGAGAAAUGAGACUGAGGGCACGUCGAGUAUCCCAAUACAUAAUAGAUAGUGAUGUGAUUUUAAUGAA